UACGGGAGGCAGCAGGGGGAAUAUUGCACAAUGGGCGAAAGCCUGAUGCAGCUAUGCCGCGUGUAUGAAGAAGGCCUUAGGGUUGUAAAGUACUUUCAUCGGGGAGGAAAAAACAAAACUAAUAAUUUUAUUUCUUGACGUUACCCGAAAAAGAAGCACCGGCUAACUCCGUGCCAGCAGCCGCGGUAAUACGGAGGGUGCUAGCGUUAAUCAGAAUUACUGGGCGUAAAGAGCACGUAGGUGGUUUUUUUAAGUCAGAUGUGAAAUCCCUGGGCUUAACCUAGGAACUGCAUUUUGAAACUGAAAUACUAGAGUAUCGUAGAGGGAGGUAGAAUUCUAGGUGUAGCGGUGAAAUGCGUAGAUAUCUGGAGGAAUACCUGUGGCGAAAGCGGCCUCCUAAACGAAUACUGACACUGAGGGUGCGAAAGCGUGGGGAGCAAACGAGGGAUUAGAUACCCGU
rnacentral:rRNA from 1 species